rnacentral:lncRNA from 1 species
UAAAAGUGGAAUUUGAUAAAAGAGGCCAAAGUGAGAACUCAGAGUGUUUUCACGUAUUUUUGCCUCAGAGUCAGAGAAAGGGAGAAACGCUGAAGAGAAAGAGAAGGAAGAGGAAAAGGCCAAAGAUUGCUCAGAACUUCCUUCAAUCCAAAGAGGUAAGGGGUCUGAACCUUAUUAAACGAUAAUAUGCGAGCAAAUUCAUGAUAUAUGUUGGAUUGUUGAUGGAUUUUGGGGAUUUUAGGGAGAUUGGGAAAGUUN